GUCGAGAAUCUUUCACAAUGGGGGCAACCCUGAUGGAGCGACGCCGCGUGGAGGAUAAGGUCUUCGGAUUGUAAACUCCUGUCAUGCGUGAACAAGGUUGCUUGGUUAAUACCUGGGCAAAUUGAUGGUAACGCAAGAGGAAGAGACGGCUAACUCUGUGCCAGCAGCCGCGGUAAUACAGAGGUCUCAAGCGUUGUUCGGAAUCACUGGGCGUAAAGGGUGCGUAGGUGGCGUGGUAAGUCAGAUGUGAAAGCACGGGGCUCAACCUCGGAACUGCAUCCGAUACUGCCAUGCUAGAGUACUGGAGAGGUGACUAGAAUUCUCGGUGUAGCAGUGAAAUGCGUAGAUAUCGAGAGGAAUACCAAAGGCGUAGGCAGGUCACUGGACAGUUACUGACACUGAGGCACGAAGGCCAGGGGAGCAAACAGGAUUAGAUACCCUGGUAGUCC
rnacentral:rRNA from 1 species